rnacentral:rRNA from 1 species
UGCAGAAAGCUUAGAGAUCGUCGCUGGCCUUUGGAAACGAAGGCAUGUGCACGUCUCGACCCUCUGCUCGGUCCUCGUUCUCUUUCCUUUCGUAAAUCUUUGACACCCGUGCACCUCUUGUAGGUCCCUGAGAGGGGACCUAUGUCUUCAUAAACUCUUCGUAUGUCCAGGAAUGUAUCUAAAGCGUCGACCGGCUUGGCUGAACGUCCAGUCGGCGACGGUAAAGAACGUAAUACAACUUUCAGCAACGGAUCUCUUGGCUCUCGCAUCGAUGAAGAACGCAGCGAAUUGCGAUAAGUAAUGUGAAUUGCAGAUUUUCAGUGAAUCAUCGAAUCUUUGAACGCACCUUGCGCUCCUUGGUAUUCCGAGGAGCAUGCCUGUUUGAGUGUCAUUUAAUUCUCAACCAUCCCUCGAUUGAUUUUUUUCGAGGUUUGGCUUGGAUUUUGGGAGCUGCCGGCGACCGGAUCGGGUCCUUGGCUCUCCUCAAAAGCAUUAGCGACGGUGGUGUGACCUCCCCCGUGCAUGAACGGCCUUCGACGUGAUAAUGAUCGUCGUGGGCUGGAGUGCUAGCGGGCGUCGCGUCGCGUUCGGCGCUUCUAAU